UUUGGUGGAAGUUAACCUGAAACCGUCACGUCCUGUGACAACGGUUAACUGAUUUGCAUCAUGCAAA
rfam:Bacillus sp. KCTC 13219 scaffold8.1, whole genome shotgun sequence.